UAGGGAAUCUUCCACAAUGGACGCAAGUCUGAUGGAGCAACGCCGCGUGAGUGAAGAAGGUUUUCGGACCGUAAAGCUCUGUUGUUGGUGAAGAAGGAUAGAGGUAGUAACUGGCCUUUAUUUGACGGUAAUCAACCAGAAAGUCACGGCUAACUACGUGCCAGCAGCCGCGGUAAUACGUAGGUGGCAAGCGUUGUCCGGAUUUAUUGGGCGUAAAGCGAGCGCAGGCGGAAGAAUAA
rnacentral:rRNA from 1 species